UCCCUGGUGGCUCAGACGGUAAAGCAUCUGUCUUCAAUGCCGCAGGCCUGGGUUCGAUCCCUGGGUGGGGAA
rnacentral:tRNA from 1 species